UGGGUCUCCUGCAUUGCAGGUGGAUUCUUUACCACUGCGCCACUGGAGAAGCCCCAUUUAGAGGCAACUAGCACUUUAUUUUAAGAAACUGCCAAACAUCUUCACUGUGUUCUCUGCUUUCCACUUAUCAUUUUUAUAUAAAUAUGGAAGCAUUUAUUUUAUUUCUUUUCCUACUGCUGGAACACACACAGUUUAAUUUUUAGAUCCAUAGUGUAUUAUGCUUUAAUGUUGUGAUGUAAUCAUUCUGGCCUUGGAAAAUCUUCCUGUUUCUAUACCUCUGUUCUCCCAGGGGCCAGACCCCGUUAACAUCAGUGUUACUGAAUGAGUACAGUGUGCUGCGGAGCCUUGUCAUGAGGCUGCUGGACAUGGACACCGCAUCACCCCAACCUAACUUUUUGUAAGUCAUCACCUGGAAGCAAGGUUAGAAAAGGGUCAGUUUAAAUGUUCUGAGUUGAAAAAAAAAUGUGACUGUAUUGUCAGAUUGUUGUUAGACAUAAUUUUAUUGGGCGACGGGACAGUUGCUUCACAUGCUUUAAAAUGACAUUGAGAUUUUUAGAAGGUGACUUUGCACACAGUGACUUAAUAUUUAUCAAGUGAAUUUGCAAUAACCAGCAGCAGACGAACUGCAGAAAAGACUUCAUGGGUUUUGAUCAUAGGGAAGCAUCUGAAGUAGAAAAAAUACGGAUAGAUGCUCCCCAAAGGAAAACCUUUCUAGAAUAGCAGUGGCCACUUGGAUCUAGAUCAACAUAUUCCAAAAAGCAUGACCUUGGGCCUUGUGCUCCACUGAACUCGCUUGAGAAAAUUAGGAACCAAACCUGUUUUCCCCUUUUUUUUGCGUGGCCUGCAGCAGAACUGGACGAUGAAUAAAUCCAUUGCUGACUUUGUCCAUACCCUUCGCACAAUGUCGGGACUUUUCAGUAUAAAACUUAACAUUUAACUGAUAAUUAUUUUUCUUUAAUGCUGUCUGAUAUUCUCCGAAUUUUGUCUUGUGCCAAAUUGCUGUUUAGAAAUCCCUGGUAUAAUAUGGUGCAUUUGGUUUACCACAUGAGUGGUUAACAUUUUCGGGCCUUGAUUUUUAAUGAGUGUUGCCUUUAUAUAAAAAUCACGUUGGGGGAGAUUACUCAUUUAUUCAGUGUUGAUUUUCUUGAAAGGUAACUGUGGUGAUUGUAAUGUCCUCAGCCUGUUAAAGGCACGAGACUGCCAUGUAAGCAGCUUUCUGAAGAACUGAGAACAAAACAGAACUUGCUCUCAAAGGCUUGUUUCCCUUUGGUUUGUGUUGGGGACUUCAAUGCAGAAAGGAAACCCUUCAGGUAGAUUUCACUGUUACGUAGUGUGUCAUAUUCUGAUAACAUCAGUUUUUUAGAACCAAACAUACAAAAAUAAAAAUCUGCUGUUUGAGCAAAAAGAAAAAAAAAAAAAGAACGUUUUUAAUGAUACUUUUGUCUACUGCUUACAGCGCAGAGUCAGAGGAGUGACUAGAUAAAGUGUUUUUCCUUCUGUCUGGUGGUGCCUGUGUCUUAAAGCCAUAUUUGUUGGUCUUACUGGUGAUAGGAUCUUUUUUCUCCCUCGUCUGUCGUAGGUGGCCUACGACACCAGAGACUGUCCUGAUAGUGCUAUGCGGGGCGCAGUGUCACCCGGGGUUCUCCAGCAAGAGUCUCUGUCAUCCCUGGUGGUACAUAAGAUUUUCAAAGGGAACAGCUGGGGCUGCUGUUGCCCCUGAUGUUUAACUCUCAUUAGAAGUGGUAGCUUUAUUUCUAGAGAAGUCAAGAACGGAAGGGUAAAGAAAGAAACCCUCACUUGUACGCAGUCACUUCUCUUAUGAGACUUACACUUAGGUCAGCAACGUCUGUGAGGAGCAGUAUUGCCUUAAAUUAGUUUGAUUCUGACCGAGGUCAGUGUACUGUAUUUCCUAUAGAUGAGUGACUGUCAACUCUCCAUUGAGGUAUCAGAUUCACAGAUUGCCUCUCAGUCUGUGAAUGAGCAGUGGCAUGAUCAGGAAUGCUGGUGGUUGGAGAGUGAGAAUUUCCUGAGCAUAUUCUUCAGGUGAUCACUUCCUGAAUAGUUGAGAGUUGACUGUCUUCAUUUCCUAUGGUGUUUGUGUAGAUGUUUUCAAAGGUUCUGUUAUGCAGUGAAGUCAGUUAUUCUGUAAAAAUUUUGCUAACACUCUUAUGUAUUGAAAUGCAUACAUACGUUAACAAAAAAGGAGGAAACUGAAACAAAACAGAGACAUUUACUCAAAUGGGAGAUUUGUUGAUGUGAAAAGUGUUUCUAUUUUAUUACUUUCAAGAGAAAAUCAGAAAAACUUUUGCUAGGGUAGGGAAGACACCAGAGUGGUUUUUUAGGUUUGCAUUUGAUGCCACAGAGUAAUACAGUGUCAUCUAAGUAACCAUGUUGAUUUGUGGAAAUGUCUGGUCCUAAAGAUCACUCUCUCUGCCCUUAAAUAUUUGUGAACACUGCCUAGAAAUAUGUUCCUAAUAGACUUAAAUGUUUUUGUGUAUUCUCAGCAAACUAGAAAAUGUUUCUCUCACUUUUGAGUAAAUGUGUAUAGCCUAAGGAGCUGGCACUGUGCUGAUUUCAGCGUUUCAGAUAAGGACAGAGUUAAUUGUAUAACUUAGUGCCCUGUGACUCAUUGCUGAGGUUCAUAUUGAAAGAAUGGAAGAAUUGAAAGACAGGGUCUGAGUGACAUUUCCUUCACAGAAGAGCAAGGAUUAAGGACAACGAAGAGAAAGGUGAGAGGAUAUACUGUUACACCUCAUAUGCUUGGGAGAAGCUUUUGUUGCCCUGAGUUUUGGACCAUAACUGCUAAAAUAGUUUCUAGCUGUUAGAUAUAAUGGGAAGGUUUUUGAUGUUAGAAUUUUUAAAAUUUCUCAUUGAAUUAGCUGCUGGAAUCCUUGUAGGCUAUAACUUCAGGUUUGCCAUCAACUGAAAGCCAAAUGUCAUUUCCCAGCUAUAGCUGUAUUUUCUACCUGCCUCUUAAAAGCAAGGUAGUAUUUGUUCAUGAAGUAUUAUGAGAUGAUAGGGUAUAGAAAUGAUAUUCCAAAGUGAGAAUUCUCUGUAAAUGCGGUGGUCCUUAAGAAGAAUCCAUCCCAACACACUGUUGUAUCCUGAGAGGUGCUGAAUUACAAAAUACAGGAGUUUUUCAUAUGAAUCAAGUUGCUCAGGAAAUUUGAGGUGCGCUGUCAUUUGUCUCAAAUUUUGGAAAAGUACGCUCUUGAGAGAGAUUAACUGCACAGUGCCCAAAAGGUUUUGGAUGCUUUGGCAAUAAAGCCCUUUGACAUUUAGAAUGUGGAUGUUUAAACAAGUGAGAUGUUAUCCCAAGGACUUACCAGUUUGUAGCCAAGCCCUAGGGGAAAGGCAGCUUUGACAUAGUUAUUUCACAGAAUUGAACAGAACCUUAAUGGAAUAGAGUUACUGGCCUCAGUUCAGAAAAAGAGGAGGCCACCUCAAAUCACAUGCCUGUCUAGAGAUUAAUGAAACUGAGAGACACUGUGGAUGCCUUAAAGGUGACUGAUACUGGGUGCUGGCGGGUAUAUGCGCAUCCUUCUGGACGAGGCUUAUGGAAACAGACGGUUUCAAUUCACCUUCAUACAGCACGCAUUCCUGCUCAUGACCUCUUUGGAGAAAGUGAGGAAACGUGGUGCUGGAGACGUUCUCGUGUCUUGGGCGGCUGAGGUGGUGAUGCCUCUCCAGUACUCAGGCCUCCCGUCAGUGCCGCUUACACAUCUCCAUCUAUUCAUCUAUGCAAGCUUGUGUUUCAGUGCUUCAUUUUUUAUACCUUGCAUCCCAUUUGAUUCCUUUAACGUCAGGCUUAACAUUGAUAUUAUGAAUAAUUUUUAAACCAAAGUAUUGUAUAAGUCUGUGUGCUUGUUUUCCUGAGUGAUUGGAGGCAAACACCAACCUUGUCAUUUUCUCUUAAUAAAGUCACUCAUUUGUUGCAUCA